UCCCUAAUGAGCAACCCAGAGGUGAUGGUGGUAAGGAAAAACUCCCUGAGGCAACAAGAGGGAGAAACCUUGAUGCAGGAUAGUGUGAUUAUACUAUAAAGUCAAGCAGUGUAAGUGUGCUAAAAGGAACUUGACUAUGAGCAUCAUUACAAAUUUAAGUUUAAGUUUCCAACUGAAAUUAUCAACCGUUCAAUGGUGAUUUGAGUGUAAACAGUUCUUAGUGAUUUCUGAAAGAACAUCCACUGAAAGAACAUCCACAGCCAUCUUAAGGGUGUCUGUGUGGUACUAUGUGGCUUUUAGAACAAGUGGCCAACCACUCCACCAACAAACCUUAGUGAACUCAUAUGAGAGUGGGGGGCGGUAGCAUUCAAACAUUCCAGUUUACCAAAACACUCUAUGCCCAUAAACCCUCCAGAUCUGUGCCUUUACCGAAGAGAAAAGCUAAUUAACAAAAGGCCUAACUAAACAAAUAGGUUUUCAGCAUAGGCUUAAAGAUUCCAAACACAAUCCCAAACACAAAUUGGAAGACCAAAAUAUGCUCAGAAACUGUGGCCCAAGACCGAGAUAUUUCUGAGAUAAAAGAAGGGUAUUUUAGUAAUAUUACUACAGGAGCUUCAAAUGAGAGACUGGAGUCAAUAAUCACACUAAGACCUUUAAAUGCUGCACAUGAUGCAACUGAAAGACCAUCCAGAGACUACAAAUUUCUACUAUGUACAUCUACAAACUGAUAACAAUCAGUCAAAUAAGACCUGAGAGGAGAGAAAGAGUGUUGUUCUCUUAAAUCCAACAUUUUCUAGUCUAUCUAGAAAAAUGUUAUGAUCUAUGGUGUCAAAAGCUGCACUAAGUUCAAGCAACGCAAGCAAGGAGACACAGCCCUGAUCCGAGACCAGUAGUAGGUAAUUUAUUUUAACUAGUUGUGCCUCAGUGCUGUGAUGAGGCCUAAAUCCUGACUGAUAGAUUUCAUGAAUGUGAUUCCUAUGUAACUAUGAGAAUAACUGCUGUACCUUUUCUAGGAUCUUGGAGAUAAAAGGGAUGUUUGAUAUUGGCAGACAGAUUGGUUAGACAGUUGACGAGGGUCAAGGGCGGGGUUUUUAACCACGGGUUUUGAUAACUGCUAGUUUAAAGGAUUUAGGUACAUAGCCAGUACUAAGGGAAGAAUUGAUUAUUUUUAGAAGUGGUUUGAUUGCUUCUGGUAAUAUCUGUUUGAAGAAACCACAUAGUUCCUGUGACGUAGUUCCAGGUUUCGAAUUGUUUGCUGUGAGAUUCUUGCCAGUGUCGUCAUUUAAACUAUACCGUUUUUUUCUCUUUUCAUCAAUAAUUUUGUGCUGUUGUCUUCAUUUUUUUGUAUUUUUCACUUUCCCUUCUGCUGCAUUUUUUAUUUUCUCAAAGAAUGUUUUUAUUUUUUGUCUAAAGACAGCAAGUGAUGGCCAUCCAUGCCUGAUCCAUCUAAUAUAAUCUCAACAAAUCUUCGACUAAGGUAUGUUAAACACUCAACAUGGCAAACAUUCAGCUUGUUCAGUGUGUUGAGUGCAGAAUGUUUAGUCCUUGCUACUUUGUUAGUAGCUUUAUUUGUGAGAAGUGUAUAUUAGUUAGCCCUCUGAUGGAGAAGAUUGCAGCAUAGGUGCACAUCCAGACUCUAGAGAGGGGUAGCGAGAGUGAGAGCAGUGUAGUGUCUGUAGGGGAAAGUCUGGAUGCCUUAGGCAGAGUUAGUAAUCCCCCCAGCUCCAGCAUUAGAGCCCUCACAGUGGGGUGAAUGGGUGAUGACUCGGCGGCAUAAUCCAAAAGCCAAAGCUAACGCUAAGUCUCGCCCAUGGGAGCACCACUCCUCUCCGCUUCACGUGUCUAACAGGUUUGCUCUCUUCAGUGAAGCACUCGCUGAGAAACCUGAAAGAGUUCUGGUUAUAGAAGACUCUAUCUUAAGGCAUGUGAAAUUAGCUAGGCCUUUAGGGGCACCAGCAGCUUUAGUUAGGUGUAUACAGGGAGCCAGGCCAUCUGACAUAGCAGAUAAUCUUAAAGUCUUAGACAAGCAUAGGCUUUCAAAGAUAGUUAUUCAUGUAGGAGAUAAUGAUAUACACCUUUGUCAGUCAGAGGUUACUAAGAAUAACAUUGUAGAGGUGUGUAAAUUAGUGAAGGCGAUGUCCGAUGCAGUAGUAAGCUCUGGCCCCAUCCCGAUGUGGUGUGGCGAUGUAGAUUGCAGCAGAUUAUGGUCACUGAACUGCUGGAUGUCCAGGUGAUGCUCCGAAAACAAUGUGGGCUUUAUAUAUAAUUGGAAUAGUUUUAUAAUAAUAAUAAUAAAACUUUAUUUUAUAUAGCACCUUUAAAAAGGACUCUCAAGGUGCUUUACAUAGGAAAAGAAAAUAGAACCAGAAGUACAUAGCAUAAAACAAGGUAUAUAAUAACAAUAGUUAAUAUAAUAAUAAUAUAGUAAUAAUUGUUAACUGUAAUAAUUUUGAGGGCAAGGCUGGCCUGUUAGGGCAGGACUGUCAAAUUUACAUGGAAUUGGUUAAAGAAACACAAAAUCAGUGUUUUCUAGUGCCCCUCUCAGUCUUUGAAUCAUACUGAAAACCUGCGGUCUGAAUUGAAGAGGGAAGUCUGUGUGCACAAACCUAAGAAUAUAAAGGAUCUUAAAAUGCAUGAUUGAGUGGACCAAGGGCAGGUGUCACAAAAUAUUAAUUGUAAAUGUGGCAAUAAUUUUGAAACCAAUGUGUUGUAGAAAAAAGUCUGCACUACAUAAAAAAACAUAUGUGUUUCUUAUAAACAUGUUUAAAAGAAACAAUACACUGUUUGAGCUAAAAAAAAUAAAUAAAUAAAUAAAUCAGCUAUUUAAGGCUGCUGAUACAACUGGGGCAAGCAGGCAUUUGACCAACCAAUUUUCAAAGUACUGAGACAAAGCCCCAGCACUGUUUGGUUCAGUUAAAGUUGAUUUUAUGGGGGAAUAAUUUCUCCCUAAACACUUGAAGAACUGACCUAUAGACAAGAACUGGCAGAUAGUUAGAUGUAGAACCAAUCAAAAUCUCCUUCUCAAUUUGGGGGCAGGACAUUUCCCCAAAAGCAUAUGCUGUGAAGCUGUUCAGUGUGACGACUGCUGCAUCUCACUAAUUUGGUAAAUGUUUUUACUGUGAAGCACAAACUAAGUCAGUCAGUUCAGAUUUUAGUACCCUUUUGCUGUUAUAAUAACCUCCACUCUUCUAGGCUUUCACCUAGGUUUUGCCCAUGCAACCACAAGAGCAUUAGUGAGGUCAGGCGCUUAUGUCGAGUGAGAAGGCCUGGGCAAAGUUGGCAUUUCAGUUCAUCCCAAAGGUGUUCAGUGGUUGAGGUUAGGGCUCUGUGCAGGCCACUCGAGUUCUUCCACUCUAAACUUAUCAAACCAUGUCUUCAUGGACCUCGCUGGACCUCGGGACACUGGAACAUAUUUGGGCUAGACCUCUUUGUUCCAGUGAAGGGAAACUUAAUGCUACAGCAUACAAAGAUACAUUCUAGAUAAUUGUUUGCUUUGUGGUAACAGUUGGCUCAUUUAUGGGUUUGAUGAUCCGGUGAACACAAUCUUUUAUUGGAGCAAAAAUAUAAAAUAUAUUUAUAUAUGGAAUAUACCUUUGAGUUUAUAUUGCUUACUUUUAUUAUGUUUACAGCAUUUCGCAGGCACCCUUAUCCAGAGUGACCUACGGAAGUGCUUUGUAUUCUCUAUCAAGAACACAUCCUCAUACUACAGUAGUUCACUAGUUCAGGGACUAAGAGUACCAUCAAGAAAAUUUUGUGAAAACCAGUCUUUUAUAUUAUUGGCAUUAACUAAAUCAAAAAAAUUAAAUGUGAAAAUUAAAGAAAACAAGCCAACAUAAACCCAUAAAUUAAGACAUAUAAAACGAAUCAUUCAAUUAUGACAAAAAAAUGCCAGUCAGUCUAUGCAUAGCUGUAAGCCAUAAACGAAUGCCCCAGCUGAUAAAUAGCUUAACUGUUUUAAGCUACUCGUAUCAUGUAGACAUAAUAACAGUUUUUUUUUUUUUUUAUUGAAUCACCACCACUUUUGGAUGUGUGUUGCCACCGCUGCACUAAUUGCUUAUAUUCAUCUUAUUUACAGUUCUUUUGCUAAUUUAGAUGAAUGGUGGCAAUAUUCUUACACAUUAACAAACAACCAUACAUUACAUAGCACUCUUGUUUGCUAGAGUUACGAUUUAAACUGCUAUUACUUUUUCCUCUGGAAAAUAGGACAUUUAGGCUGGAUACCAAUGUAAAUGUCCCCAUUAUCCUGCACUAAUGUAAACCCUGUACCCCACUGUUGCUAAUGCAAUAAAAAGGGACAUAAUAUUGACAACCCCUUUAGUUGCAGGCUCCACUAUUCUGUGAAGUUUUUUUUUUCUGGAAAUAUGCCUGUGGGCAUUUACUUCCAUUCCACAAGAGCAUUAGUGAGUUCAGGCACUGAUGUUGGAUGAUAAGGCCUAGCAUGUAGUUGGCUUUUAAAGAGGUAAAGAUCUGGAAUCAGUUAAGUAUUUCCAUACUAAACUCAGCAAAAUGUUUGUUUAUGGGCCUUAAUGGACUCGUGCAUGAGACAAUGCACUGAAUAAAACUGUGAGACAAGACAUAUGUUAUACAAUGUUUUAUUACAGGGUAAUUAAAUGUGUAGCAUAAGCAAUGGAGGACAGGAAAAAAAAAGGGAAAAGAAAGAGCCAGACUUCCUGAUACACUGACUGUUUAAACUGUUUAAAAAAAUUUACCCUUGACCCAAGAGCAAUGACCAAUAUAAAUGUUCUUUUCCUGAAUUUCCAUGAUUAACCAUUAGUGAUAGUACAUCUUAAAAAUUUAACUUACACUAUGUGCCAGGGGCAUUGUUAUCCCCAGACCAUUAUUCCUCCCCUACAAAUGGCUACUUGCAUUCGAGCAGGUAGCAUUCUCCUGACAUGUACCAAAUUCAGAUUUGUCAGUCAGUAUGCCAGAUCCUGAAACAUGAUUCAUCCAGAGAACAUUUUUACACUAGUCCAGGGUCCAAUAGUGGUGUGCUUUACACCAUCUCAGUCAUAUCUUGGGAUUACACUCAGUAAUCUUUGUGGCUGCUCAGCCUUGGAAACCCAAUUGAUGGAACCAGCGUUGAAUUUACACCUUUUGAGUAGGGGUGAGGGGUGCAUUUGGGAAGGUAAUGUGAUUAUGUUUGUGUUUUGAAAAUGCUUAUGUUUUAAGAAAUGUCAAAAAUGACUAUGUAUAUUUAAAAGCGCAGUGCAUAUGCAAAUCAUGAUUGACAGUAGCUAUGUUUUAUAAAAACAAAUACUAAAAGGUUUACAUUUAUUUACUAAAACAUAGCGAUUAAUAAGAGAAAGCAAGAGAGUAUUUACUGCAGAUGUGGCAUCUAAUAUUUCCACCCUGAACAAAUGGCAUAUUUUGAAAUAGGCUAUCAGCAUUGUUUACAUUCAUCAGUACAGUGAGACAGCUACUUGUCUUUCAGGUUUCUCUAACUAUUAUUCCUAUAUACCAGCUAUAAAAUACCACUACUGUGAGUGUAGUGAAUGAACUGGAAACACAGGAGCUGUACUUGAGUCCAUCUCACAUUCAAACACAUGAUCAAAAGUAAUUAUCAUACACCUGUCAAAAACAACACCAUAUAAUACUUGUCAAAUAAAGAGGGAAAACACAGAACCUAAAUAGGGUAACUAAUUAGGGGAACACAAAACAGGAGUGCACAAACACAGGGCGUGGGGCAGACAACAAAUGAAGAAAUUCAAAAAAUGUGAGUAAGCAUGCCCUCUGGUCAUCUGGGGGGGUUGUCCAAGGUGAACAUGACAACAACAUCUUGGUUUCAUCAGACUGUUGAAGUCAUGAUCCGCAAGGGUGUCUAUUUUACAAAAGUUAAUCAUAUCUCAAAGAAACAACUAAUGUGCGAUUUAUGAUCAAAUAGACCUGUGUUAUUACAGCUCUUCUUAGUGUCAAAAUAAGUCACAAGGAAAAUGUAUAUCUGAUAUACUAACAAUUUAUUUUUGUAAAAUAAUUUUAAAAGUAAUACACAUUAAUUAGUUUUGCAUGAAUUACACAGUAUCAAACUGUGGUCCAUGGUCCAUAACUAGUGGUUAGGCCACAGCACUCUCACUGCUGCAUCCUGGGUUUGAUUCCUGGCCAGGGCAUUGACCCCAGCCACUGGGGUUGUGUGCAAUAGUGCACUCUCAGCACCGUUCCCAAGCCCAGGUAAAAAUUGGGGAGGGUUGCCUCAGGUAGGACAUCCGGCAUAAAUCUGUACCAAAUCAAAUACACAGACCAAUAAUUCACUGUGGCGACCCCUAAUGGGAGCAGCUGAAAGAGGAACAACAACGACACAGUAUCAAACUGCAUUUAAGGUACAAUGAUUUACUUUUGAUGGCCACACUGUGAUUUUAUGGUAAGUAACUGUAUUAAGACAAGAUAACAUUAUAUUGAUCCCAAGGGGAAAUUAGAGAGCUGCUGCAACAGGCUGCAGAUGGCAUGGUGCCAUCAGAACAGGUCAACGGUUUACUACUGAUAACCCUUGUGCGGUUCUUGGAUCUAAGUGAUGUUUAUUAUUAUUAGUAUAAGAAAAAUAUAGAACUAAUCAUUUGUAAACCUAAAACACAGUGGACUCAGCUUAUUUUCUCUGAUGAACAUGUACAACACCAAAACAAAUUUGAACACUCAUCCUACACCCUCCUAUACGUUUAGUCAGUUUUACCGGAGGGUAAUAAAUGGUUGAAAAGAGUACUUGAAAACAGAUCGGUCAUGGUAAAUAUGAAAUUAAAACAUGAGUUCAUAUGAAAGUCACAAGGUAAGGCACUUGUGACCCCACAUAUCCAGAGAAGAGAACCCUCAGUCCUGAACAUCUGCAGUCAUGGUGAGAAGGAUUAAGGAGGAGGUUCCUAUUGCCCCAAACUGCACGUGCCAGCCACCACUUCCAGUGCCUAAAGUAAGUGUGUGUGACUUUUUUGUGUGUGUGUUUGUGUGUGUGUGUGUGUGCGUACAUCUGUAAACAUUUUAGGUGUAUUAGGUAUCUAACAAAGACUUUUCACCAUUGUAGGUGGCAGCUGGGCAAAAAAAAAGGAGCGUUGCCAGGAUUUUGUACCAGCAAAGGGCACUAAAACACCUUCUACAUAGACAGAAAGAACAGUGAAAAACAAACAUAGCUGACCUUCAACUGGGAAGGAGUGGAGACACAGAGAAAAAGAAAGAAAGAAGGUGGUUUAGGGAGCAACGAGUUCCGCAAAAUGGGGGAUGAACUUGUGGUACCAGCCCGCCAGGCUUAAGAAGCUUUGCAGCGCUUUAAUAUCAUGCUGUAGCGGGAAGUCGGGUGCCAUGUGGAAAAACAUUUCAUCUUUACCAUCUGAAAAAACUGAGAACGACACUGUGAUAAAGCAGUUUCCAAAUGCCUGCGAGCCCUCAUUCGCAGAAAAGGCAACAAUGAGUUGUACUCAGAGAAAAAUGACCCUCCACUUGAAGGAUGAAGAUGGUAACAUUUAAGUUUUUCAAUUUCCGUGUUUGGUUCAACGAUUUGCAGGCUUAACUUGAGUUUUUGAAAAAUGCACUUUAUUCAUCUCUGCACUUUGUUGUUUUUUUAGUAACUUCUGUUUUUUUUGUGCAGAAAAUUGCAUUGUGAUGCAUUCUUAUUUCACACUGAUAGGGUAUUCAUAGUGUACUUUUCAGUAAUACAGGUAUAACUGAAAUGUGCUACAAAUUGUUUAAAGUAGCUCUGUCAUAUCAUUUCACUGAUCUUUAUUUUAUUUUAAUGUAUUUGGUCAAGAGAUGCUGUGCUUUUUAAUGUAUACAAUGAAUUUAUUUUUGUAAGGUAAACAACAAGAUAUAGUACAUUAAAGUUUUCUAGUUUUCAAAAUUGUAUGUGUUUUAAAAUAUAUAUUUUUUCUGAUUUUUAUGGUACUGUAGGGGCAUUUUGCACUGUAUUUUUAAUACAAUAUUAAGAC